GCAAACUUGGUCAUUUAGAGGAAGUAAAAGUCGUAACAAGGUCUCCGUAGGUGAACCUGCGGAGGGAUCAUUAACGAGUUAGGGUCUUCUUCAGGCCCGACCUCCCAACCCUUAUGUUUAACCGACCAUCGUUGCUUCGGCGGGCCCGUCCUGCGCGAGUAGGACCGCCGGAGGACGCCUCACACCGUCCUCUGGUCCGCGCCCGUCGAUGGCCAACUACAUCAAAAAUUCUUUUUAACCAAAAACGUAUUUGUCUGAGUUAUAAACCAAAAAUUAUAAGCAAAACUUUCAACAACGGAUCUCUUGGUUCUGGCAUCGAUGAAGAACGCAGC
rnacentral:misc_RNA from 1 species